rnacentral:rRNA from 1 species
GAUCAUGGCUCAGGAUGAACGCUAGCGACAGGCUUAACACAUGCAAGUCGAGGGGCAGCAUGAGGUAGCAAUACCUUGAUGGCGACCGGCGCACGGGUGAGUAACGCGUAUGCAACCUGCCCGAUACCGGGGUAUAGCCCAUGGAAACGUGGAUUAACACCCCAUAGUACUUUUAUCCUGCAUGGGAUGUGAGUUAAAUGUUCAAGGUAUCGGAUGGGCAUGCGUCAUA